rnacentral:rRNA from 1 species
AACGGGGAAGCUUGCUUCCGCCGACGACCGGCGCACGGGUGCGUAACGCGUAUACAAUCUACCUUAUACUGGGGUAUAGCCUUUAGAAAUGAAGAUUAACCCCCCAUAGUCUCUUAGAGUGGCAUCACUUCUAGAGUAAAGGUUACGGUAUAAGAUGAGUAUGCGUUCUAUUAGUUUGUUGGUGUGGUAACGGCACACCAAGACUACGAUAGAUAGGGGCCCUGAGAGGGGGAUCCCCCACACUGGUACUGAGACACGGACCAGACUCCUACGGGAGGCAGCAGUGAGGAAUAUUGGACAAUGGAGGCAACUCUGAUCCAGCCAUGCCGCGUGCAGGAAGACUGCCCUAUGGGUUGUAAACUGCUUUUAUACAGGAAGAAACACCUCUACGUGUAGAGGCUUGACGGUACUGUAAGAAUAAGGAUCGGCUAACUCCGUGCCAGCAGCCGCGGUAAUACGGAGGAUCCAAGCGUUAUCCGGAAUCAUUGGGUUUAAAGGGUCCGUAGGUGGAUAAUUAAGUCAGAGGUGAAAUCUUGCAGCUCAACUGUAAAAUUGCCUUUGAAACUGGUUAUCUUGAGUUAUUAUGAAGUAGUUAGAAUAUGUAGUGUAGCGGUGAAAUGCAUAGAUAUUACAUAGAAUACCAAUUGCGAAGGCAGAUUACUAAUAAUCAACUGACACUGAUGGACGAAAGCGUGGGUAGCGAACAGGAUUAGAUACCCUGGUAGUCCACGCCGUAAACGAUGGUUACUAGCUGUUUGGACUUCGGUCUGAGUGGCUAAGCGAAAGUGAUAAGUAACCCACCUGGGGAGUACGUUCGCAAGAAUGAAACUCAAAGGAAUUGACGGGGGCCCGCACAAGCGGUGGAGCAUGUGGUUUAAUUCGAUGAUACGCGAGGAACCUUACCAGGGCUUAAAUGUAAGUUGCAUUAGUUAGAGAUAGCUAUUUCUUCGGACCACUUACAAGGUGCUGCAUGGUUGUCGUCAGCUCGUGCCGUGAGGUGUCAGGUUAAGUCCUAUAACGAGCGCAACCCCUGUUGUUAGUUGCCAGCGAGUCAUGUCGGGAACUCUAGCAAGACUGCCAGUGCAAACUGUGAGGAAGGUGGGGAUGACGUCAAAUCAUCACGGCCCUUACGUCCUGGGCUACACACGUGCUACAAUGGUAGGUACAGAGAGCAGCCACUGCGCGAGCAGGAGCGAAUCUACAAAACCUAUCACAGUUCGGAUCGGAGUCUGCAACUCGACUCCGUGAAGCUGGAAUCGCUAGUAAUCGGAUAUCAGCCAUGAUCCGGUGAAUACGUUCCCGGGCCUUGUACACACCGCCCGUCAAGCCAUGGAAGUUGGAAGUGCCUGAAGUCCGUCACCGCAAGGAGCGGCCUAGGGUA